rnacentral:rRNA from 1 species
GAUGAACGCUGGCGGCGUGCUUAACACAUGCAAGUCGAGCGAAGUAAAUUAAGAGCUUGCUUUUGAUUUACUUAGCGGCGGACGGGUGAGUAACGUGUGGGCAACCUGCCUUUUACUGGGGAAUAAUCGUUGGAAACGAUGACUAAUACCGCAUACGGUUCUUGGAAGGCAUCUUCUAGGAAAGAAAGGAUUAAUUCGGUAAAAGAUGGGCCCGCAUCUGAUUAGCUAGUUGGUGAGAUAACAGCCCACCAAGGCAACGAUCAGUAGCCGACCUGAGAGGGUGACCGGCCACAUUGGGACUGAGACACGGCCCAA